CAGGAUAUGUUAAUGCAUUGUGUGAUGCCAUGCAUUCUGACACAAAGUUGACAUGUAGUCAGUGGACUUUCUUGUGAUUAGGGAAAGGUUUUUGUAACUUUUAUGAUUAUACUAUGAAAUGUUAUUACGUUGUGUGACGCCAAGUAUUCUGACAGUAAGUUGACAUGUCACUGAUAAUGUUACUACAUUGUGUGAUACCAUGUAUUCUGUCAGUAAGUUGACAUGUCACCGAUAAUGUUACUACACUGUGUGAUACCAUGUAUUAUGGCAGUAAGUUGACAUGUCACCGAUAAUGUUACUACAUAGUGUGACGCAAUGUUUUAUGGCAGUAAGUUGACAUGUCACCGAUAAUGUUACUACAUUGUGUGAUACCAUGUAUUCUCAAACAAAAGUUUACAUGUCACCAGGAAAUGUUACUACAUAGUGUGACGCCAUGUAUUAUGUCAGUAAGUUUACAUGUCACCGAUAAUGUUAUACAUAGUGUGACGCCAGGUGUGUUGAUACCAUGUAUUCUGACACAAAGUUGACAUGUAGUCAGUGGACUUUCUUGUGAUUAGGGAAAGAUUUUUGUAUCUUUUAUGAUUAUACAAUAAAACGUUAUUACGCUUGUGCGACGCCAUGUAUUAUGUCAGUAAGUUGACAUGUCACCGAUAAUGUUACUACAUUGUGUGAUACCAUGUAUUCUCAAAGUAAGUUCACAUCUAUGAAAUCAAAUCAUAUCAGUCUUACAUGACCAUCCUAGUUACAUUGAACACAUUGGCACGUUGAACUGACCACUUCUACUGCUCACAGGACAUAUAUCAGCUGUGAACACUGAUGCCAUGCUGUUCUGCUGACAACAUUAAAAGAACAAAUGAUAAUGAACUACAAUCACCAUG